CAGGAUUAGAUACCCUGGUAGUCCACGCUGUAAACGAUGUCGACUUGGAGGUUGUGCCCUUGAGGCGUGGCUUCCGGAGCUAACGCGUUAAGUCGACCGCCUGGGGAGUACGGCCGCAAGGUUAAAACUCAAAUGAAUUGACGGGGGCCCGCACAAGCGGUGGAGCAUGUGGUUUAAUUCGAUGCAACGCGAAGAACCUUACCUACUCUUGACAUCCACGGAAUUCGCCAGAGAUGGCUUAGUGCCUUCGGGAACCGUGAGACAGGUGCUGCAUGGCUGUCGUCAGCUCGUGUUGUGAAAUGUUGGGCUAAGUCCCGCAACGAGCGCAACCCUUAUCCUUUGUUGCCAGCACGUAAUGGUGGGAACUCAAAGGAGACUGCCGGUGAUAAACCGGAGGAAGGUGGGGAUGACGUCAAGUCAUCAUGGCCCUUACGAGUAGGGCUACACACGUGCUACAAUGGCAUAUACAAAGAGAAGCGAACUCGCGAGAGCAAGCGGACCUCAUAAAGUAUGUCGUAGUCCGGAUUGGAGUCUGCAACUCGACUCCAUGAAGUCGGAAUCGCUAGUAAUCGUAGAUCAGAAUGCUACGGUGAAUACGUUCCCGGGCCUUGUACACACCGCCCGUCACACCAUGGGAGUGGGUUGCAAAAGAAGUAGGUAGCUUAACCUUCGGGAGGGCGCUUACCACUUUUGUGAUUCAUGACUGGGGUGAAGUCGUAACAAGGUAACC
rnacentral:rRNA from 1 species